CAGUCUUUCUAGGGGUUUGUCUAUAUAUAUAUAUAUAUAUAUAUACAUACGAGUAUAUAUGCGUGGUCACAUGUGUGCAUCAAACAGUUUAUGGAGGCAAACAGCAUCGAAAAAAAAGAGAAAGAAAACAAGAAAACCCUACUACCCAAAGACCAAAUCUCCCCAAAAUCCGAAAAUCCAACCAUCCGAAAGCAAGCCACCUCUGUUGAUUUAGCCCUGCAAAAUGUCCUCGGCCCGUAAAUCGCGCACAUCGCUUCAGUUGAUUUCCAUGUCACUGACAAAACACAAUUUGCCAUCGCCUUUUGUGUACAUAGCUAAAUUCUGGAUGAGGCAUUGCAUGCUGCAUGCAGGAUAAAGGAUACACCAUACAUACAGGCCAUACAAGCCAUCCAAGCCAUACAGGACAUACAGGACAUACAGGACACUCAGGACAUUCAGGACAUGCGAGACAUACAACACCGUUUGGGGGUUUCGUUAAAAAGGAUUAAAUGUGGGCUGUUUGUAGAGCCCGAGUGGCCGGCAAAUAACAGGGCCAAGAUGACAUCUAAUCUCGAGGAAUCCAGGGGAUGUUCUUGCAAUUAUUAUUGGCGGGAGUGGAACUGGUCACUGGUUGGGUAUAUUAAAAUAAAAUAUGAGUGGGGGUGCAUUCUGGGGUGAAAGCAUGCUUUUAUCCCCAGACGCAUUCUUAAGGAA